rnacentral:rRNA from 1 species
AUUAACGCUGGCNGCAGGCCUAACNCAUGCAAGUCGAACGAGNACCUUCGGGUCUAGUGGCGGACGGGUGAGUAACGCGUGGGAACAUACCCUUUGGUACGGAAUAGCCUCGGGAAACUGGGAGUAAUACCGUAUGUGCCCUUCGGGGGAAAGAUUUAUCGCCAAAGGAUUGGCCCGCGUUGGAUUAGGUAGUUGGUGGGGUAAUGGCCUACCAAGCCGACGAUCCAUAGCUGGUUUGAGAGGAUGAUCAGCCACACUGGGACUGAGACACGGCCCAGACUCCUACGGGAGGCAGCAGUGGGGAAUCUUAGACAAUGGGCGCAAGCCUGAUCUAGCCAUGCCGCGUGAUCGAUGAAGGCCUUAGGGUUGUAAAGAUCUUUCAGAUGGGAAGAUAAUGACGGUACCAUCAGAAGAAGCCCCGGCUAACUCCGUGCCAGCAGCCGCGGGUAAUA